AUUGAACGCUGGCGGCAGGCCUAACACAUGCAAGUCGAGCGGAGCGGCGGACGGGUGAGUAAUGCCUAGGAAUCUGCCUGGUAGUGGGGGAUAACGUCCGGAAACGGGCGCUAAUACCGCAUACUAUCAGAUGAGCCUAGGUCGGAUUAGCUCGGUGGUGGGGUAAAGGCCUACCAAGGCGACGAUACGUAACUAGUCUGAGAGGAUGGUGAGUCACACUGGAACUGAUACAAGGUCCAGUCUCCUACGGAAGGAAGCAGUGGGGAAUAUUGGAAAAUGUGCGAAAGCCUGAUCCAGCCAUGCCUCGUGUGUGAAGAAGUUCUUCGGAUUGUAAAGCACUUUAAGUUGGGAGGCGUUACCAACAGAAUAAGCACCGGCUAACUCCGUGCCAGCAGCCGCGGUAAUUC
rnacentral:rRNA from 1 species